AAUAUAACUAAAAAAGAAGGAUUAUUAUAAGUCGAGGGCUAGGAACCGCAUCAACAUCUUGGCUUUUCAGCGGUGGAGAGACCAGUAGCAGGAGAGUUGUGAGUGUCUGGAGCUGGUGUGCGUAAAACCGUCUCGCAUGCAUGAAUUUGAGGGGCAGAGCUUCCAAAGGAGCACUGAAGGGAGUGGUGUGUUUGUUUUGGCAGUUGAGUUCAAAUAUCAACAGUGUUUCUCAGGAAUCUCUAAGUGCACCUUUAACACCUCUGUAAUCACAGCAUGGAUGCCCUUUUGUUGAUGCCUGCAGUUAGAAAUCCCACCAAAUACCAUUUUGUCUAUAGAUAUUGUU